rnacentral:rRNA from 1 species
GGUUAAGCGACUAAGCGUACACGGUGGAUGCCCUGGCAGUCAGAGGCGAUGAAGGACGUGCUAAUCUGCGAUAAGCGUCGGUAAGGUGAUAUGAACCGUUAUAACCGGCGAUUUCCGAAUGGGGAAACCCAGUGUGAUUCGUCACACUAUCAUUACGUGAAUACAUAGCGUAAUGAAGCGAACCGGGGGAACUGAAACAUCUAAGUACCCCGAGGAAAAGAAAUCAACCGAGAUUCCCCCAGUAGCGGCGAGCGAACGGGGAGCAGCCCAGAGUCUGAAUCAGCUUGUGUGUUAGUGGAACGGUCUGGAAAGUCCGACGGUACAGGGUGAUAGUCCCGUACACCAAAAUGCACAGGUUGUGAACUCGAAGAGUAGGGCGGGACACGUGGUAUCCUGUCUGAAUAUGGGGGGACCAUCCUCCAAGGCUAAAUACUCCUGACUGACCGAUAGUGAACCAGUACCGUGAGGGAAAGGCGAAAAGAACCCCGGCGAGGGGAGUGAAAAAGAACCUGAAACCGUGUACGUACAAGCAGUGGGAGCCUCUUUAUGGGGUGACUGCGUACCUUUUGUAUAAUGGGUCAGCGACUUAUAUUCUGUAGCAAGGUUAACCGUAUAGGGGAGCCGAAGGGAAACCGAGUCUUAACUGGGCGUUAAGUUGCAGGGUAUAGACCCGAAACCCGGUGAUCUAGCCAUGGGCAGGUUGAAGGUUGGGUAACACUAACUGGAGGACCGAACCGACUAAUGUUGAAAAAUUAGCGGAUGACUUGUGGCUGGGGGUGAAAGGCCAAUCAAACCGGGAGAUAGCUGGUUCUCCCCGAAAGCUAUUUAGGUAGCGCCUCGUGAAUUCAUCUUCGGGGGUAGAGCACUGUUUCGGCUAGGGGGUCAUCCCGACUUACCAACCCGAUGCAAACUGCGAAUACCGAAGAAUGUUAUCACGGGAGACACACGGCGGGUGCUAACGUCCGUCGUGAAGAGGGAAACAACCCAGACCGCCAGCUAAGGUCCCAAAGUCAUGGUUAAGUGGGAAACGAUGUGGGAAGGCACAGACAGCCAGGAUGUUGGCUUAGAAGCAGCCAUCAUUUAAAGAAAGCGUAAUAGCUCACUGGUCGAGUCGGCCUGCGCGGAAGAUGUAACGGGGCUAAACCAUGCACCGAAGCUGCGGCAGCGACACUAUGUGUUGUUGGGUAGGGGAGCGUUCUGUAAGCCGUUGAAGGUG